AUGGAUGUGAUGAUUAUUUCCCCAGAUGAUCGAAUCUGAAAUAACUGAGCGCUCAAUUUACGUUUCUCCUUUUGGAGAAAUUCAAGCCAGAAAUCUGAUCCAUCUUCAAAAAUGUCUUUUGUUUAAUUUUAAAUAUUUGAUUUUUAUUAUGUGUUUUGAUAAUCAGAGAGUGGAAAUGAUGAUUAUUUCCCCAGAUGACCGAAGUUGAUUAUAUUGAGCGCAUUUAAUUAUAUUCUCUAUUAUAUUAUUGAGAAUCCAAGCCAGAAAUCUGAUCCUA
rnacentral:lncRNA from 1 species